rnacentral:lncRNA from 1 species
UUCUGUCUAUUCCUCUCAGUUCGCCGCCGCCUUCUCCUAGUGUAAGCCAAUACUUCUUAUUACAGUCUGUUACAAGGCCACUUGGGCCAAAAUAAACUCAGCCACUCACAGCUCGGGCCAUAUCGCUCUCUUACUCCUUCUGAGCCCGUCGAGACCUGCUUCUGGCUUCACAACCUUCUCCUUUCCCGCACUGGUAUCCUUCCCUUCUUCCGCGUCCUGGUUGCUGAUCACCGGGACACUGACAUUUUCCCUCCCUUGAGUUCCAGCUUGUCCCCAAGCUGGUGCAAAGGAAAAAUGUCGCUUGAUGUCCGCCUCCUCUUCCCAUGUAGCGUAGCCAUGGAUGUAGGCUAGCCCGUCCACUGAGAUGAUUGUUGGAUAGUUUGUCAACUACUACCAGCAUGCAGUUUUCCCAGCGCAAAUGAGACAAUCCUGAGAUAAAAUACAUAGAUACUACCAGCCACGUAUGGUCUUGAACCGGCAAUGGAAAACGUUCAGAGUAUUUCACCCGGUCUUCCCAAUUACGUAUCGUAGGAUCAAAGCUACCUUCACUUGGCCCGUCAGGAAAUGACAAGUUCGAAAAUUCGUGAAGACCUAUUGUAUAUGUAAACAAGUUAAACCCAAACGGAUGCCUGGUCUUCGCUUGUUGACAGUUAACACAAGAUCGAACAAAGUCACGCACAGAAGGCUUCAUUCCUGUCCAGCUCAACACUGCCUUGAUGCACCGGUAUGUAACCAGAAAGCCUGACUGCCCACACAUAGUGCUAUCGUGCAAAGUUUUCAUGGUCCGUUGCUGCAGUUCAUGGCUCGAAACCAGCCAAAUUUUGUUCUUGUGUCUGAUCACUCCAUGCACUAAGGUGAAGGGUUCCAACUGUCCACCGAUUGAGAAGAUAGCCAUUAUCUUUUGGGCCGAUGCAUCACUUUCAUACCCUUUUGUCACUUCCACCAACCAGCUGGGAAUUACUGAGGAACUGGAGACAACAUUCAAACACACAGAGCUGUCAUCUUGAUGUAGAUCAGGCCGUCGUGAUAGAAUAUCGGCAGCUCGGUUGUCCACCCAUGUUUUGUAUACGAUCCAAAAGUGGAGACCCUUCAACCACUGAUCAACAGCAAACAGAAUGGACGACAUACUUUCAUCUGACUCAUGCACUGUCUGACAUGGUCGAUCUGUAGAAAUUCCAGAAGCACUCACUUUAUGGCCCAAAAAGUCCAACAAACACUUAGGCAAUUUAAGAUGUUGUUGCUGUUGACAGAGUAAUUGAAAAACUGUCUCCAAGAGCUGCGCAUGAUAUUUCAGAUUAAAAUUAUAUACCAACACCUCAAGGACAGUAGUAACAGUCAAUACAGAGAUAGACUGAACAGCUAGGAGUUGUUCCACUGCAUCAGGACAAACUGUAGCUUCUAACUGCAAAAUAAACAAACAGAGCCCCAUGACUUUUCUAUAAGAUUUGGGAGCGGCCAUCCUUCCAUCCUCAUCCUUGGUACUGACUGUCCCUAGAGUUUGGUGUUCCUCAUUCAGUCCCGUGGCCUUGCCACCAGACAGAGGAGAUGGAGGUAAGGGCAUAAGUCCUGGCCUAGGUGAAACUUGGGCAGAUACUCCAGGAUCCCACAUUCUGUCCUCCAUUUGUCCCGUGUUCAACAUCACCUUCGCUUGUAACAUGGUCAGUGAGUUGUGUUGGUCACGACUAACACGGGUAUUCAGAGCCAACCACAACUUACUCCAACUCAUCUCCUUAGUCCUGGACUUCAUCAACUGAAGCCAGUAGAGGGCUGAUCCUUCCAAGUGCAUGACGGCAAACCGGAUCCACAUUUCACUCGAAAUAGUAUAUAACUCAAAGUCUGUUUCACAACGAUCUCUCCAUACUAUUGGUUUAGAAUCACCAAAUGCAGGAAAACUUCUAUGAGGCAUGUCAAUUCCCAAUCCUUGAGACUGUUUCAUCAGCGUAGAUUGACCCAAAGAAUCUAGAACAUAGGACCAGUAGGUAUGGUUGGCAGGGUUAGCAUUACCUGUAAGUCCAACGGUAGUAGCAGACCCACUCGUCACGGUAAUAGCGACACUUCUCGGUGAUACAGCAAGAGGCGCCAUCACAGGAGCUGCCUCCAUGGCCAUGAUAGCUUCGAAAUCGUACUGCAGCAACCCCAGCUUCGUGGUGUCUUUGUGUGCCACCUCCCUUGACCCAUUGUUGCUCGCCACGGUGGUGUUGUUCCUGCCAAACUGAUAAUGGUCAGCGCUGCCACCAGACCAAAACUGCCCAAGCCCCGGCGGUGGCUGCUGUUGCACGGGCACGAGAAGUUUGGAGUUGAAGAUGACCUCCCAAAUUCGGAUCUGCUCCGGCAUGGGGUUCCACCGCGACUUUGAAUCUAGGGUUCGCUCCCGCGUCGUCGAUCCAUCCGCAAUGAUUUCUGAGAGCAUCGAGUUGGUCGCAUCCGCCACACUCGUCGAAGCAGAAUACGAAUCUUCGAUCGUCUUCUGGGUCACCUUGUCCUCCUUCGCUCCGGUUCCUGGUCUCCACCUCUGGCAGUCGCUUGGAUCCGUCAGCAAACCCUUGACCGCGAUCUCCAUCCUCUCCAUAGCAGACUGCAUCGAGUCCAUACAACGAUGAAUCUCUCGAUUCCCUUCCUCAAUUUUCGCCAUCAGCUGCGCCAUUGGAUCUUCGAGGAUCGGCCACGCCAUGGUUCCAAUACUCGCCUGAAAUUGAUUAGAGACAGUGUGGAAGAACUAGCUCCGAAUACCAAAUGUUAGGAUCCCGGCACCCUCGACUCAAUUUUACUCCGGAACGAUCACCACGGAUCACCGGCCGCCAACAACCUUACAGUUCAGACUCGUGUUCUGUCUAUUCCUCUCAGUUCGCCGCCGCCUUCUCCUAGUGUAAGCCAAUACUUCUUAUUACAGUCUGUUACAAGGCCACUUGGGCCAAAAUAAACUCAGCCACUCACAGCUCGGGCCAUAUCGCUCUCUUACUCCUUCUGAGCCCGUCGAGACCUGCUUCUGGCUUCACAACCUUCUCCUUUCCCGCACUGGUAUCCUUCCCUUCUUCCGCGUCCUGG